rnacentral:pre_miRNA from 1 species
UUGUGUGGUACUUUGCUCCGGAGAGUGUCAGUCACGUAUAAUUAGAUGUGACUGACACCUCUAUGAGUGAAGUAACACAUGA